GUCAGUACUUGGGUGUCACACCCCAGAAUCAGGCUCCCUUCUCUCUGGUUCUAGGUGCAUUACCCAAGAACUGCA
rfam:Myotis davidii contig108225, whole genome shotgun sequence.